UCGGCAAUUGUAAGUUUGAUGUAUACAACAGUGUGCAUAAGGAUUGACAUUGCCCAUCCAGUCAGUACUAUGAACAUAUUUAUGGCUAACGAUGCAGGUGGCGCAGGUCCUGCCGCUAGCCCGCUGGGCUGGCUUGCGCCGCUAGCUGUCAUGCCCAGAAAUUCCUCACACGAAUUUCUGAACUUAAUUGUGUAUUAAAUCCCUGUCCAGGAUCAGCCAGGGUACACAAAAAGAUAAUGUUGAUUACAUAACCAUCGUUCUUAGAAACAACGGAAAAUUACACUUAUUCUAGCGGAAAUGCAGCGGAAAGAAAAAGGUAGACUAACACCAGCAGGGACGGCUCCAGUCCACAGGCAAAGCUUCGACGGCGGAACAGCUCACUCCUGAGAGGCACCUCCAUCGGACUCAACUUCCAACUCUGGGGGGAAGUUAAGCAAGGCUGAGUACAAACCACCGUACUCAACAAGUGACACGGACAAGAGAGCAAUAAAUGAUGCAUAGGGAUUAACAAAGGCAGGCAAGGGUUAGUUACAGUAAAGCAGCAGUUAAACAAAUUACAGAGAUUAAAAAGAAUACGAGUAAUUGAAUACAGUAAAGAAUAAGUAAAUAACAGUUGUAAAAUACCACAACACUGUCCAACGUUACACCACGUUACAACAGGCCCAACCACUACUCAACGUUACACCACGCUGCAGUAGUCCCAAGUGAUAACAGAUUUUACUCAAGUUAUUAGGGUUCACUAAUCACAGUGAAGCUGGGAGUUCGCCCGUAACCGUGGGCACGGCUAUUCGAAUAGUUUAUACUCUGAUCAGAGGUGUACUACUGUACCCACAAGACACGACUCCACUACACUUGAACGUGCGCCGACAUACCACCACGGCAUACCGGAAAGGAGACCGUGAUAGGACCCGUUACACAACCCUCCCUAUUUAAUCGUACCACACUUCAGGUUUCACCCCCUCCUUUACACCAAGUCGGGCAGUCCCCUCUUGUGCCUUGGUAGAUCCGGAAGCAGGAGAAGCUUUCGUUACACCACGAUUGCCCGUCCAUACUCCAUCACGCCUACCCUUGCCACGGUACGUCAAAUAGUUCGAAGUCAUGCUUCAAAUCCCACCUUACCCAUUUCGGCAUGUGGUUAGCACUUAAUUACUUCCAGGGUUUCCCGUGAACCGGUCCUUAAUCGCCAUGGGUGCGACUCUCAAAACCAUGCACCCACAGCCCACCAUUAUCAAUAUUUUAGUUGACAUUAACCCGAACCGGGUAGUGAAUCAUUAUCUCAGCUAUUCAGAACUAAGCAUGAUUAAAUGUGAUCCCAUGAGCUAUUUGUUCUAAGCAUGGCUAAGCAUUAACCUAGGCCUGACUCUAAUCAAGUUACCCCUGGUCCAGCAAUGAACAAAGUUGGAUAAACAACGGCAUAAUAAUAAGGUUUACCCGAAAAUAGCAUAAAGUAAGUACUUUAAUUAAAACAAUGCAUAUUUGAAAUAAUAAAGCGGGGAAUUUGCAAUAAUGGGUUCAAUAUGUUCAAGGAUGAGUGUCACUUGCCUUGCUCUGGCCCUUGGG
rnacentral:lncRNA from 1 species